UACGACUACAUAUCAGGCAUAUCAAUAAGCGGAGGAAAAGAAACUAACAAGGAUUCCCUUAGUAACGGCGAGUGAAGCGGGAAGAGCUCAAAUUUGAAAUCUUCAAGGUUCUACCUUGACGAAUUGUAGUUUAAAGAAGUGUUUUCUGUUGAAGUUUUGGUAAAAGUUCUUUGGAAUAGGACAUCAUAGAGGGUGAGAAUCCCGUAUUUGACCAUUAUUUUCCAGCUGUGUGAUACACUUUCAAAGAGUCGGAUUGUUUGGGAAUGCAGUCCAAAAUGGGUGGUAAAUUUCAUCUAAAGCUAAAUAUUGGCGAGAGACCGAUAGCGAACAAGUACCGUGAGGGAAAGAUGAAAAGAACUUUGAAAAGAGAGUUAAACAGUACGUGAAAUUGUCAAAAGGGAAGCGUUUGACACCAGUGUUGUUUUCUCGAAAAUCAAUUAAAAAUAGGCUGGAUUUUGUGUUGUAUUGACCUUAAUCAGCUUGCUUCACUCUUUUCAUUGUCUUUUUUAAUGCACUUUUCGUUUAACAAGUCAACAUCAGUUUCUUUUGUUGUAAAAGGGUCAUUGGAAGGUGGCUUUCUCUUCGGAGAAAGUGUUUAUAGCCUUUGAUCUCUGCAAUCGGAGAGACUGAGGUCUGCAGCGUAGAUCCUUCGGGGUUAGAUACAUUUGUGCUAAGCUACAGCUUUUCAUAGACAACUUGUUGACUAUGUUUAGUCUUGUGACUUACCCGCUUAUGCUAUUUUACCUACGCUUAGGAUGUUGAGCGCAUGUCUCUCUCU
rnacentral:rRNA from 1 species